rnacentral:rRNA from 1 species
CAGAGGGUGCGAGCGUUAAUCGGAAUUACUGGGCGUAAAGCGUGCGUAGACGGUUAUUUAAGUCGGGUGUGAAAGCCCCGGGCUCAACCUGGGAAUUGCAUUCGAGACUGAAUAGCUAGGGUACGGUAGAGGGGAGCGGAAUUUCCGGUGUAGCGGUGAAAUGCGUAGAUAUCGGAAGGAACAUCAGUGGCGAAAGCGGCUUCCUGGACCAGUACCGACGUUCAGGCACGAAAGCGUGGGGAGCAAACAGGAUUAGAUACCCUGGUAGUCCACGCCAUAAACGAUGAGGACUAGACGUUGGAGGGGUAAGCCUUUCAGUGUCGUAGCUAACGCGCUAAGUCCUCCGCCUGGGGAGUACGGCCGCAAGGUUG